rnacentral:lncRNA from 1 species
UUUUAGCCAGGUUCGACCCCUAACCCUAAUGGUCUACGUCCUGGUCCCCUACCAACUGGUAAGAGAUUAUAUUAUUAAUCAAUAAUAUCAACGAUUACAAGAUUCAAUAAUAUAACUCCCUUUCUCCCUUGUUCCUGUUAUCAGCCUGCUGAAACCCCUGAACCACGAACCAAAAGCCUACCAAGACCUAUACUUCCCAAGUAUAUUCUCCAAGCUAACUAGUCCCCUUGUUCCCUUGUUUCACAAGCUCGAUACACAGCAACAAAACAUUACACCUUGAACAAUACAAUGAAUAAGUGUAAUACAACCGAAACUAUGAACUCUCAAUAUAGAUAUAUAUACGAAUAUAAGUACUAGAGCUCAACAAAAGAUUUAGCAAUGUAAAGAGUUGUAUUUCAGAAAGCUUGGUGUGUUCUCCUUGUUCUCU